rnacentral:rRNA from 1 species
ACACAUGCAAGUCGAACGAAGCGCUUAAAUGGAUUUCUUCGGAUUGAAGUUUUUGUGACUGAGUGGCGGACGGGUGAGUAACGCGUGGGUAACCUGCCUCAUACAGGGGGAUAACAGUUAGAAAUGACUGCUAAUACCGCAUAAGCGCACAGUGCUGCAUGGCACAGUGUGAAAAACUCCGGUGGUAUGAGAUGGACCCGCGUCUGAUUAGCUAGUUGGUGGGGUAACGGCCUACCAAGGCGACGAUCAGUAGCCGGCCUGAGAGGGUGAACGGCCACAUUGGGACUGAGACACGGCCCAAACUCCUACGGGAGGCAGCAGUGGGGAAUAUUGCACAAUGGGGGAAACCCUGAUGCAGCGACGCCGCGUGAGCGAAGAAGUAUUUCGGUAUGUAAAGCUCUAUCAGCAGGGAAGAAAAUGACGGUACCUGACUAAGAAGCACCGGCUAAAUACGUGCCAGCAGCCGCGGUAAUACGUAUGGUGCAAGCGUUAUCCGGAUUUACUGGGUGUAAAGGGAGCGUAGACGGUUGUGUAAGUCUGAUGUGAAAGCCCGGGGCUCAACCCCGGGACUGCAUUGGAAACUAUGUAACUAGAGUGUCGGAGAGGUAAGCGGAAUUCCUAGUGUAGCGGUGAAAUGCGUAGAUAUUAGGAGGAACACCAGUGGCGAAGGC